UCAUGUUUUUCAUUUAACUUUUCCUAAAGAUUGGAAAUUAAAUAAUAUUUUACAAUUAUUUAGUCCAUUUGGCAAUGUUCAUGUAUCUUGGAUCGAUGACACUUCUGCCUAUGUUGGGUUGGCCAAGCGAGAUCAAGCUGCAUUAGCAUU